rnacentral:rRNA from 1 species
CCUACGGGUGGCAGCAGUAGGGGAUAUUGCUCAAUGGGGGAAACCCUGAAGCAGCAACGCCGCGUGGAGGAUGAAGGUCUUCGGAGUGUAAACUCCUUUUGUUAGAGAAGAUAAUGACGGUAUCUAACGAAUAAGCACCGGCUAACUCCGUGCCAGCAGCAGCGGUAAUACGGAGGGUGCAAGCGUUACACGGAAUCACUGGGUGUAAAGGGCGCGUAGGCGGGAUAGCAAGUCAGGUGUGAAAUCCUAUGGCUAAACCAUGGAACUUCAUUUGAAACUGUUAUUCUGGAGUGUGGGAGUGGUAGGUGGAAUUCUUGGUGUAGGGGUAAAAUCCGUAGAGAUCAAGAGGAAUACUGAUUGCGAAGGCGACCUGCUAGAACGUAACUGACGCUGAUGCGCGAAAGCGUGGGGAGCAAACAGGAUUAGAUACCCGUGUAGUC